rnacentral:rRNA from 1 species
UACGUAGGUGGCAAGCGUUGUCCGGAUUUACUGGGCGUAAAGAGCGCGCAGGCGGUCGUUCAAGUCGCGUGUGAAAGCCCCCGGCUCAACUGGGGAGGGUCACGCGAUACUGAUCGACUCGAAGGCAGGAGAGGGUAGUGGAAUUCCCGGUGUAGUGGUGAAAUGCGUAGAUAUCGGGAGGAAUACCAGUGGCGAAGGCGGCUGCCUGGCCUGUUCUUGACGCUGAGGCGCGAAAGCUGGGGGAGCAAACGGG